rnacentral:rRNA from 1 species
AACGUAGGAGACAAACGUUAUCCGGAGUUACUGGGCGUAAAGGGCGUGUAGGUGGUUUCGUAAGUCUGGCGUGAAAUAUCUCGGCUUAACCGAGGCAGGUCGUCGGAUACUGCGGAACUAGAGGACGGUAGAGGCGUGUGGAAUUCCGGGUGUAGUGGUGAAAUGCGUAGAGAUCCGGAGGAACACCAGUGGCGAAGGCGGGUCUCUGGGCCGAUACUGACGCUGAGGAGCGAAAGCGUGGGGAGCAAACAGG